GCCGAGGUGGCGGAGCGGUCAAUCGCACCAGACUGUAAAUCUGGCGUUCGAAAGGGCUACCCAGGUUCGAAUCCUGGCCUCGGCA
rfam:Candidatus Gottesmanbacteria bacterium RIFCSPHIGHO2_01_FTLL_42_12 rifcsphigho2_01_scaffold_26162, whole genome shotgun sequence.